GCCCGGCCCUAUCGAAGCUGCGUCUGUCUCGGUGGUGUGGCAGAUGCAGUCAAAAAGGAGCCGAGAGCGAAGGGUUUUUCCUCGACGGUCGCCGCUCAGUUUGAGUCUCUGUAACUGUCCGGCAACAUUUCAGGAAAAUACAUGG
ensembl:snoRNA